ensembl:lncRNA
UAGUUUUUGUGAAUGACUGAUUACAAAAUGCAUUUUUAAAAAAGUUGGCAAAUGCUGAAAUGCACUGUGGUAUGAAGCGCAUUGCAUAUCUUUAGCAUUGAAGUAUCAGUUUCCAUUCCUGGGCUGAGAUUUUUUUCCUGUGGUUGUAUUGUUCUGAUUUCACAUACACCAGAAAAACUGAUUUUUUGUUUUCUUGUGGAGUUAACACCAAAUAAAAAUUUAAAAAACCAGAAAUCACAUCAAGGCUUGCAACUCAUACACAUACAACUUUAACUGUCACCUAUACCUAAAUAAAGCUGGAGAAGAUCAGAUGUAGACUAUUCAGAGUUGAAACAUUGAAAAAUUGAGGUAUCUUAGGCAUCAGAAGAGGGUGAGUCACAUUCAGACCUUAAACUGUAUAUGAGCUCUGGAUGACAUGUGGUCCAUGGGGCCAAACACAACUUGCUUUCUCAAGGAACAACAAGCAUGGAGACCCAGGAAGCCUCAUGCACCUGUUGUUCCAGUGCUAGACUGGGGCUAAAAGGGCAUCAGUGCCUUGAUGCUGAGGUUUACCUAGAUAGGACUUCUAUAUGAAACAGCUGAAGUAUUUGGGAUUCAGUUCUAUUUUUGAACCACUAAGGUGUAGAUACAAAUCUUCAGAGUCAGAAACAUAAAAUGCAUUCCAUUAUGAGUAAAUUCAUUUCUACACACUACUUAAUGAGAAACAUUUAUCUCACAUAGAAGCAUCAUCUGCUGCUCUCCAGGUAAAUCCUAAUAGCAUUCACUGUUCCAUCUGUCUGCAUUUUACACUCAGAUUCUUGUUUUUCAUUAUAGCCAAGAUUUGAGAGGAUCAACAUGAUGCAUCUUUUCAUCCAGAGCAAGGGAAGAACCCAAAAGCUUCCUAACUACAAUAUUUUGAAGGUCAGUUGGUUUCUGUCCUAAUUUUCAUUGAAAGAAUCAAAAGCAUUUUAAAAGAUGAACCAGAAAGUGAUGGCAAGGAUCUCAGUGUUGAUCACCCCAUUGUGUCCUCAGGCCUGAGUUGUCCCCCUGUCUAAUCACUUUAUCUCUUAUCCUAGCCUGAGUGGAAGUGUGAGUGCACAGUGCACAGUGCAGAAAGCAGUCUUCUCACAGGACCACACAGUGUGCUUCUUAAAGUUGGUCAGAUCCAGCCCCUGAGGUUCUCUCAACUGCACAGGUUUCUGUUAAGGUGGAACAUUAAAGGAUGCUCUUGUCCUUAUGGUACCUGACUUUGGUCUUAGCUCUAAGUGAUCCCAAAUACUUUCAAAACAUAUGUGUACCAGAUGACUAGAGUUUCAGGAAAUGGGUAUGAAAUAUACAACAUAUACCCAGCAAGGAAAAUAAGUACUUCACCAUAACAAGAAUAGAUGAGAAAAUAUAUAAAGAACUAAAAGAGAUAAUUCACAGGUGGAGAUUCUAAUGUAAGAACAUACAGAAAAUAAAUUAAAUCACUUUCAGCUGAUACUUUCUUAUGUUUUUGUCAAUGAAAUCCUUGACUGUGAACUGAGAAUAUCUGUGGAACAUCCUUCACGGUGCAGCACUGAUCUCCCUGUUCAGUGGACAGUAGCAGAUGAUGGGGUUCACGAAUGGGGGCAUGGUUUCAUUGCAAUGGGACCUAAGUAGGUUAUUGCCCCCAAAAUGACCAACAGCAGAAGAAUGGCCAGCUGCAAAGUACAGAAGACAAUGAGUCAGAUCUCAGCAUGGAGACAGAUGGAAUGGUGACUGCUAUUGGGAUUUUCCUGGAGAGCAGCAGGUGAUGCUUACACUGAGUGGAACACUUUUCUCAUCAAAUGGAUUCACUCAAAAUGGAAGCUGUUUUAUUUUCCCCACUCCCAAGAGCUGAACCUUCAUUCUGGUGACUAAAGUACAUUAACAAAAUUCUAUUUCAGAACUGAAUCCAAACUUCCCUCCAUUUUCAUCUAGAAAGACUGUCUGGGAAAACCUCAGCCUGGAGGCUCUGGUGCCCAUUUAGCCCCAGUCCAGCACUGGAACAACAGGCACAUCAGGCUCCCUGCAUCUCUGUACUUAUUGCUUCUUGCAGAAGCAAGUGGUGUUUGGUGCCAUGAACCUCCUGUUAUCCAGAGCUCACAUCCUGGUGAAGGUCUGGAGAUGGCUUAUUCUCCUCUGCUGCCUGAGAUACCUCAACUUUCAAUGUUUCGUCAUGAGGAGGCUACAUCUGUUCUCCACCUUUAUCUAGUUAUAGGUGACAAUCACAAUGGUAUGUAAGGUACAAAGCUUAGUGUGAUUUCUGCAUUUGUAGAAAUAGUUGUUCCAAACAAGCUAACUAACAUACAACAUUUCUUUUCAAAAUAUGUCUGUGCCUACAUCAUUUUCAUAGCUGAUUUCAAGGCAAAAAAUCACUUUCAAAGUUUUAUUUAAGUAACUCUCUCACAAAGGUAGGGAGUUAACAAUUCUGAACCUUUUAAUGUUUUAUAUGAAUUAAGUUUCCCUGUUCUUUAUCUCGACCUAUAUUUAUAUGUAGACUUUCUGUCCAGGUUUUUAUUAAAAUAUUUGAAUGAAGUACUAGAUUAAUUUCUAGUCUCCAGUGUUAAUUUAUAAACCUGUGUCACUGUAGUUCUUCUUUGUGUUCACUUUCUACCUAGAACUUAUUUUUUAUUAAAGAAUUUAAGAAAUUCCAUUUUAAAUUUGCUUUAAUAUAUUUUCAGAUAAUG